GCAUAUAUGGUGUUAGUGGAUAGCACACCUGCCUUCCAAGCAGGAGGGACGAGUUCGAAUCUCGUUAUAUGCU
rnacentral:tRNA from 1 species